UGUUCCUCAGGCUACAGGCCUAGUAAAGUCAACAGAAGCUACACUGGGCAUUUUGAGUGUUAGCAAAACAGCAAAAGCUCAGAAAAGGCAUUGAUUAGGUGUGUGACUGUGGGCAACUCUAAUUGCUAACCUUGUCCUUCACCUCUGGGCCUGGAUGCUUGUGCCGCCUCAGGGCUCACCUGGAGCCUUGGAGAACAUUUCAGCGCCCCGUGCCAGCAGCAGCUGGGGCAGCACCAGGGUGUCUUUCUUUGACAGGAUCGCCUGUUCGCCAGUAACCAGCAGUACCAGCCUCCCUGUACAUCAGCACUACCCAGUGCCCUGCUCUCAAAACCUUUGGCUCUGCUGCAAGACUGACGGGGCACUUCUGCUUCCUCCUCUCUGGUGACUCACUGCUGCUGCUGAGACGCUACCCCCCACCUUCCCUGCUCUCACCCAGGCUCACCCUGCCUUUUAAGUAUACGACAAAUUUCGAAACCUCAGACUAGGUUUUUAGGACUAAUCACUUUAAUAUGAGACAGAGAUUCCAGGGUUAAAUAAAGUGUAAAAUGUGGUAACUGUUUCAGACUUAACGAAAAGACCAUAUCCUUGCCAUUCCAGCAUCUCUCACCAAGAAGUCUCCAAACACGUCCUGGCUGUGAAGAUGAGAAACAGCGUUGCCAGAACCACCCCUCUGCUGUCCUCCCUUCUCCCUGCCCACCCUGCUUGGCUGAAUCAUUUAUCUCUACUAGCCCUUAUAUUACACUAUUUUGUCUUCCUGCUUCUAAUUGGCUUACAUUGCAAAUGUAAACUUAAUGACUCAAGCUUUAUAAUUGCCUUGUGUUAGUAUCUUUGUCAAGGAUAAGGUGACAUAAUGCACCUUUUGAAACCUUUAUUAAGGUGUGAUACAAUUUAGCAUAUGACAGUGAAACAUGUUAAAUGGACAAACCUUCUGUUAAUUGACGAAUUCCAGCAUGUUCUCAGCUUUCAGGAGAGGUAGUGCAUCACCCAUGUGGACACAACGCAGAUGCAGCGUCAGUGUGUUUCGUCCACACUGCCUAUCCUUGUUGUCAGUUUAAAGAUUUUGACAUCACAGCUGCCACAGUAAACUGAGAGUUGGGAUAAUUUUCUUAGGAAGAGGUGCUGUAAAGAUGUAUUCAUUAAUAUUCAUUAAUAAUUUUCCAUAAGGAAAUUAAUAAUUUUGUAUUCACAGCAGUCUGAAAGAUACACAGUAAUUAAAUGAUGGAAAGGUUUGAAUGCGUAUCUGCCUUUCAAAGAACACUGAAUGAGACUUGGGUUUUGUAGAAAAAAAUACAUGAUAUCAUAAAGACUGUCAUGAUGCAUACUUGCAAGAAGACACGUUAAGACUGCCUGUGGUGCCUUUUUCCAUUCCUUUUCUAACCUGUGUUUGAUUACACAAUUUUACCAUUCUUCUGACUUAGAAGUAGCGUAGAAGGGGUGCUAAAACUUUUCUUUCCAUGAAAGGAACAUUUAGAGAGAUUCAGGUGCCUAAAUAUAAGUGCUGUCUAAUGUCAUUUCAGAAGUUCUGAGAAUCCCAUCUGGCUUGCAGCUGCUGCUCCAGCAGGGCAGGAAUCCUUCCAUAAAUCCUGUCUCAGAGCUGCCAACCCGGUUAGACAACUCCAGCAACCACUGUCAUCUACAAAGGCAUUAUCUUUAGGUACCUGAACUUCCCCAUUUAAAUUACAUUUGAGCACUGAAAACAAAGAGUCAUCAGAUAAACUCAGAUAUAACUUCACCCAGGAUUUCAUAGCCACAGUGCAAGAUUACUCUGAUUUCUCUGCUUCAGUCAUUCAUGCUUAGUUUCAGGUUUAUUGCUUCUCAAGGGUCUCUGGCCAAUUUUGGCAAAGUAGCUGACAAAUCAGUAUUGGCUGUAUGCACGUAGUCUGAGGAAAUGCUUGUCUGCAUUCAAAAACUGGCAGACGUGGCAUUCCCGGUCACUUUACUAAUCCUCAUAUAACAGGAGUUUAAAGUUAGAAUCAUGCAAGUUUCGCUUUUUCUUACUCCAUUUCCUGGUUUAAUAUGCUGGGUUUGGAUUUUUUUUUGACAGAAAGUCAUUCACGAAGUAGACAUUGCUUGCAGUGACAGAGAAGGGAAAAAAGUCUCUGGAGUCUCAAGGCAGGAAUAAGAAUGUGCAGAAAAGAUGAAAAGUCCGCGCUGAGGCUAUGCAGGCACCUGCAAUGUUAUUCCUAUCUGGUCAGAAAUUAGGGAAGGACUCGGGAGCGCCUCCGCCCCAUUCCUGCCCCAGGCUGUGAGAGGGCGGCAGGAGAAAUAGCUCUGCUCUGACCUCUCUUAAGGGAACGCCGAUGACUUCCAAGAAACCUCGCUCUGCUGCAUGAAAUUCAGAUUAUUCUGAGAAAUGAUAUAAAAAGAUAACGUUUUAUAUCUGUGCAUCA